rnacentral:lncRNA from 1 species
UCUCAACUUAAGGGUGUGUGGGGAAGAGGGAAACGAGUAAGACCCAAGAGCCCCAAUAAACUCACGGGUCCAAGAUGGGGUCUUGGCUGAGAAAUCAUCAGUGGUGAGUUUAGCAAAAGGGUUGACGGUGAGAAGAGAGAUAAAGGUGUAUAAAUAAUGUAGAAGGCUGUGAGUUAUGGUCGUGGCUGUGGCUGUUUCUUUGGCGGAGGCUGUUGUGACGGCGGCGGCCGACGUGGUGGUGGCGGUGUCGAGGAUUUCGAGGUAGCCUGAGUCACGAAGCCAUGACUCGAAUGCUGGGUCGGGUACGUUUAGAGAUAACGGGUUGGAUGCGAAUACCUUCCCCAUUACAAAAAAGCUAUCCGAUUUCGGUUGAAUGAGAGUAAAUAAAUGUCAUUAAUUUAAAAUGCUUAAGGAUUUUUAGUAUUUUAAAGACCGUACAAAAUAUAACUUAAUUUUUUUAAAUUUAAUAGAUGAGUGUGUAGAAUAAUAGAAUAUUUAAAGUAAUUAUUAGGUGAUGUUUGGUUGGAAACAGAGAAUGAGAAUAGGAAAAUAAUUUAAAUUCUACUUUUAUUUUUAUUGUUUGAUUGUACAAAAUAUAUAAGAAUUUAAUUUUUAUUAAAAUUUAAUAUCCUUUAUAAUGUAGAAUUUAAAUUCCAUACCAAAGAGUGAAGAAUUCAAAUUUCUCUUAUGGUAAAAACCCAAGCUUCUAAAUUUACCCUCCAAUAUUUUAACUUAUUUAAUGCUAUUAAUAAUUAUUAUUUAUGAUUUUAUUUUAUUAAUUUAAUUUUAUAAAUAAUUUUAUAUUAAUUAAAUUUAAUGAAUGAUUUAAGAAAUUUAAUAAAAUAAAUAAACUUAUUUAUUUUAUUUAAUAUGAAAAUAUAUAAAUAUAAAUUAACUUCAUCGGACCGUCGCCGGACCCUUUGACAUCGCCGGAAGCCGCUGAAAUUCCGUCGGAAAGUCACCGGCCACCGCUGAUCGGUGUUAACUUUUGUUGACCGAUGUUGACUUAUAUUGACCGCUACUGUUGACCGGCUUUUAUUUAAAUUAAAUUAUAUUAAAUAGUUAGUAUAUUAAAUUAUUUUAUAUUUUAUAUUAAAUAUAAAUCAUGAAUUGUUUUAGAACUUUUUGAAAUUAAAACGAUUUAGUAUUAAUAUCAAAUUAUAUUUUAUUACUAAUAUAGAUAAUUUAAUAUUUAAGAUAGAUAAUAAAUUUAUUCAAAGAAAAAAAUUAUAAUUUUUUUUCUUAUCAAAUUUUAUAUCAAACUAAAUAAUGAAAUUUAAUUUCACUAUUCUCAUCGACUCAUUUCUCUUCCAUUCCACUCUUUUAUUCUCCUCCCAUUUCUUAAAACCAAACACCACCUUAGAGCUUGUAAUGCUUUGGCUGAUUCAUUAGCUAAAUUAGCUUUAAGUUUUGAAAGACCUGCUCUGUGGCUGGAAAAUUUUCCAUGACAAUGUUUUGCUGUUGUUUUCAAUGUCAGUUUGGAAAGCUUUACUUUCCCUUAAAAAAAAAAAAAAAAAAACACCACCUUAGAGGAUAAAUAGGCAUAUCCAAUACUUUAACUUAUGGUUGGUUGUUUUUUUCACUGAUUUUUUUUUUUAUUUGAAUUGAAUUAAUUACUAGUUGUGACUCGAGCUCAAGAGAGUCGAAGAGAGAGAAAAAGAAAAAUGGAGUGCUUCUCUUGUCCCUUUUAAGUGAAUAUAUUUAGGUUGGGUACCAAAGGCCAGUUUAAUCUUUUAUACUGCAUGGCAGCUUUUUACUCAAAUAUCAAAUGAGCUUGCUCUUCACGUGACGCUAAUUUUACCAAACUUUAUUUUUUUUCCUUGAUUAGCUCGUGUAGGACAGUUGAGGUGGCAACUUCUUAUUUAUUAUUCUUAUACCACAUGUCAGCUUUCAACUAGUCCAUAAAUAUCCUUCAAAAUUUACCUCCAAACAAAUCUAAUAACCUCUUGAAAACGAAAAAUUAAAAAUUUAUUCAAUCAUUCAAUGUUAAGGAUAUUGGCCAAGUAAUGGAAUGCUAACAAACCAAAUUAAAUUUCUACACUUACUCUUUUUCUUUGGCCUACACCAAAUUUCAUCACUUAAUUUUCCUUUAAUUAAAUAAAACAAAUACAUUAUAACUGCUUACUAUUUACAUCUGAAUAGAGCAAUGAAGACUGGUUAUUAAAGAUCGGUUGUUAAAUGGAUAUGGAUGAAAAUGGUGUUAAAAGACUGGUUAUGAAAAAUCUUUUAACAUAAAUCUUGCGUUUAAGAAACUUUUAGUUCACAACCAUGGCAUAUGGUAGCAAUGAAAAAGGCUCUUGCAGGAUAUAUUCAAGCAAAUUGGUUUGGGUAACGACAAACAAAAAAGCCUUGCAAGUGAUAAAGUUCCUCCUUUGCCCACUCAAAUGCAUUACAUAAUGUCGCAGUACAUUUUAUUUAUGCAAAUACGUAUAUACAUGCAUAUCUUGAUAACUAUUUUAACAUGUGAUCUAAUAUAAAACAUAAUUUCGCUCUGAAUAUUUUUAUAAUUGAUUUGUUAUAAAUUUGAACGAGGGAUUGCAGUUAUACCUUCUUGAAUUUUAUAGAUGUUUUCAUGCAUGCUCUACGAAAAAAUAUUUGAUGUCGUGUCAAUGCUCACUGCAAAAUAUAUCUUAGGUGCUCGCACAUAUACCGUAGGCUAUAGCUAUACAAAAACUUAUACUUUGCUUUCUCGAAUGCACACACUUGCACGCAAAAUUCUAUUAUUGAAAGUCGCUGCUUACUAUACACGGCUUUUUUCUAGCCUUUUAUUAGACGUGGUUUCAAUUUAUUGAACCAUUAGAGGGACACAUCAGUAGUCACAAAAAAGCCCCUCUAAAUGGCAAUUCUUGUAAUCAUUUCGCUGCCGCUCUUCAUUCCAGUCCCAAGUACACGGCCCAAACUUCAACUUUCUCCGGGAAGGCAAUGAAGCGUGGCUCAGUCUCAGUAAUAUGUCCCUCAUAUUCCAUUGAAUGAGCCAAAGGAGGAAUACUUCGAUAGUUAGUAGCAACUAGCAAUCAUAUUGAAGGAAUUUUCUGUAUCAGAUAAAGAAAGAGCAGCAGAGAACAAAGCUGUUAAUCAAUCAACAAAUGUAAAGCAGUAUUAGUAUUUCUGCCUUAUUGUAGUGCCUAAGCGGGUAUUAGGAUUUCUCCACAAGAACGUUUACUAAGAUAUUCAGCCAAGUGUGAAGUUCAUCAAUAAUCAAUCUUUUCUCGAAAUAAACGAAACAUAUUGAGUGCCAGACUUGCCCAGCCUCUGAAACAGGAUUUCAGAGCAAGCAACAGAACAAAAGACAGAAAACACAUUCAACUCAACCCAAACACUAGAAAGCAUCACAAAUAUUAUUUAUUUUUUGUACACAAUUAACGAACCGAGGCUGAAGCACAAAUCAAUGAACUCUCAACUGAAAAAUCCGAAACGAAACUUCUUAUUUAUGAAUAGACAGCGGAAACAAAGAAACCAAAAAAAAGUCCACCACCGUAGGAUCAGGAUUUAUUUGUGUAGACAGCAGAAGUGACGACGGAAAGGAUUCUGGUUGAAAUUGAAGCUCGCACUGCAGUCAUGAUGUUUUCUGCUCUGAUUUCACCUACACAAGUCAUUUAAGAAAUUGUGAAAAAUAAGAAAUUUAAAUUACAUUUUUUUUUCUUAACUACUAAAACAAAUGAACACCGAUGUCUGCUAGGUUCAUGGUUGAAUAUGGAAGAGUACAUAAGUCUCCACUGUUGCUAAAGAGGGCUUGAUGAUUGGGGUGAGCAUCGGAAACUCUAAAGGGUACUUAAUGUUGAGACAAAUUAGAAGAAAACACUUUGUAUAACCAUUUUUAUAUUGGAGAGAAGGGAAAAAAAGUACAUGAAAUUGGAUAAAUAAUUAAAAGUUGAAGAAAUUGGUUAAAACGAGAAACAUACAUCAAAUUCCGUAAGGAUAUAGUUGAAUGCCGCACUGUUCCUUAUCCUCAAAUUCCCGUAGCUUUUGUCUCAGCUCUGGCUGAGGCCACCAGCAAUCGAACUUGUUUAAGCUCUUUAUGUACCAGAGCUGUUCAGGCAUCUUUUUCAAGUAAGCACAAGGGUUGAUAAUCAAGCAUUCUAGUUUUGGCAUGGCUGCAUUCCCCAUAGUCCACUCCUCUAGCCAUAGCAUUGAUUUCAGGUGCAACACCUUGAGGUUCGGAAAACCAUAAGAGCCGCAAGUCAGCUUUCUACCUGAAUACGAGUUUUGCUUCAGUUUGAGCACUUGAAGAAGCGGCAGCUUUUCUAGUGUCGGCAUGGGAUCAUCCAUUAGGUCAGUAUUAGAAAAACUCAAGUGGGUUAGACUAUGAGGAAAUAGGUAUUCAGCAAGGACGAUUUUGGAGAGCCGUGGCAUCUUGCUUUCAUUCGCCAGCUUCAAUGACUCGAGACAGCUCAAUCUGCAGAGACUUUUGGACAACAAAGAUUGAUUAUAACUUAAAUCUCCCCGUAUUCGGAGAUUUCGAAGAUUAGGUAGUCUGCCCAAUAUAUCUUCAGUACAGCAGCAAGGAUGCAAGGCUGAAAUGAAAUUGAGAUUUUCCAGAGAGCCACAGAAUUUUCCUGGAUGCGCAGGAAGUGUGAUUGAGCCAAAAUUUAGAUGCCUGAGUUUGUUCAUCUUCCAAAAUUCAUCUGCUGUAUGAUCUAUAUAGCUAAAGGGCAUGUCUAGGGUGUAGAGGUUCAGAAGAUUGCUUAACAAUGAUGAAGGCAGGCUGUUGAGGGAAGGGAUAUUCAACUUCAAAUAUCUCAAAAGAAAUAAAUUUUCAAUUCCGGAUGGAUACUGGAUGAGAACAAGAGAUCCCAAGUCCAAUACUCUGAGAAGUUUGAACAUUCCACAAAAUUUCUCCCAAUCUAUAGGGUCAAGGUGGCGGGUUUCUGGAGAGCAGCACAACAAAGAAUGCAGUUGCGAGUCAUAAUCAUCUAAGCAAGCAAAAUCACCCUCUCUUUCAACAGCGUUUAACCGUUUGGCUUUUUUUGGUGAUUUACCUUUUGGAUCCAUGAAAGGGGAACAGAUGAAUUCCACCAUAUAAGGAACUGUGUGCAGCACGGGACGCCAACGACCAGGAAUAGAGCAUGUGUUGAUAGUGCCUCCGGCUUUUCUCUUCUUUGCUUCAACAAAGCCUUCCUUGAUAAGUUGUUCCAAGUAACUCUCAGCAGUUGCCUCACUAUUGUCUGGAAUGAAACCUUCAGCUAUCCACAACUGAUAUAACUGCCUGGUGGAUAUCUCUUGGUGUGCGGGAAACACAGAUAAGUAGAUAAAACAAGGUUUCAAGCAAAAAGGUAACAUUAAACAUUUGAUGUACCGAAGCCCAAGGGGUGUCUCCACUGCUUCCCGUAUAUUUUCUUCUAAUGAGAUGCUUCCAUGAUAUAAGAUGAGGAAAGGCCGUCCUUUAUAUGUAGCUCUCAAUGGUCCUCCAGUGGGCACUAAAUCAAGCCGCAUGUUCUCUCCGUCUUCGAACUGAAAUGAGAUGAUGAUCCUAAUGUCAGUGAGUGUUAUUAAUACUCUACUUCCAUUCUGAUUAUCCGGAAGUAUUUCUUGAAUAACAUCCCACAUAUCAAUGCUCCAUACAUCAUCAAUCACAAUCAAAUACCGCUUGGUCAUCAGAUAUUCAUGAAGAAUAAUUUUUUUCAUUUCAUAAUUUUUAUCCAUUAUUUCACUCAACCUAGAUGAAGGCAUCAGAAACUUAAUAACGAUAUCUAAUAUUUGGUCAGCAUCAUAUUCAUUGCUGUAAGGUUCUGUAAUCCAAGCGUGACAAUCAAAAUAAUGCUUCACAUAACUGCUGUUGUAAGCCUCUCCGGCGAAAGCCGUCUUGUCCAACCCAAUGCUAUCAAGUAUGGCCACCACUGAAAGCUGAGGUGGUCCCUCAAUGUUAGAGCAGCUCAUUAUGCUGAACAGAAGAAGGUGAAGACUAAGAUGAAGAAAAUACAGAGCAAGUUACAGGGCAAGUGUGUCAGCAGUGCCAGCUCAGCUAACAGCUCAGCAGAUUAGUUAAAGAUGGUUGUAAGCAUGAUGUGCAUUGUACUGAAGUUAGUUAGCUUUGAUUACAGUUAGUCUUUGGAUUAGUUAAAUGAAGUUACCGUGAUUGCAUUGUAUAUAAACAGGUGAUGCUUUGUAAUUAAAUGUUAAGCAAAAUAAAAAUCAAAGUUUGUUAAGGAAAUAUCUCCAGAAUUAUCAAUUCAUUUUCUUAGUAACCAAACAACUUUAUUUCAUUUUCUUUCAGUGCGGAGAGGCCGAAAAUUUGCUGGAGGGAUACCAAUUAAUUUGGCAGAUUUCUGAAGAGCGAAAUGUGUUUGAUCGGAGGCAUAAACAACCAACUUAGUAAUGUUGUCAAAGCCUCCUCCAAGUUUUUCCAAUGCUUUGUCUCUUGCAGCUGCCAGAGUGCAAACGAGGGAUUCACAAGUGCUUCCGUGCAGGACACCACCACCUGUUCCGGAAAACAAAAAUGAAGAAGGAAGCUUGAGCAUUUUCCCCAUCCAAUCCAUCACAAUGGAUUCGAGUUCAGUUGCUACCGGAGAAGCGAGCCAGUUGAAGCCAACCACGUUGAACCCUGAACAAAGCAUCUCACCAAGAAAGCCAGCAGUGCUUGCAUUUGCUUGGAAAUAACCAAAGAAAUUGGGGCUUUGCCAGUGAGUGAGGCCAGGUAAGAUGCAGUCGGUGACAUCUUUUAGAAUAUCAUCCAAUGACUCUGGGGAAUGCGGGGCUGUGUCAGGCAACCGAGCCGACAAAUAACCAGGCUCUACUUUGCUUUGAACAGGGUAUUUCUCGAUGUUUUUGUAAUAAUCAGCAAUGAAAUCGAUAACAGCUUUCGAUUCGUCAGAGAAGCUCUUUGGCAUUACUCUUAACACAUGAGGCAAGAAUGGAACAAAAUCAUAAUACUAAAGAUCUUUUUAGUGCAAACUAUGGGAUGAUGAAUGCUAACUACUCUCAGUUUAGAGGAAAUAAUAAGAGAGGUGGUUAUAGUGGAUAUCAAGGGCAAUUUAAUGCUGGAAAUAGGAAUCAAAAUGGAGGAAGAGGAAUGUCUUUCAAUUCAUUCUCAAGAGGUUUUCCAGCUGGUGGAUAUACUGGUAAUGCUGGUGGCAGAGGACAGCAAAUGAAUGCAUAUGCUUAUAAACCUGUGCUUAACAACAGGCAUAAUUUCAAUGUGAAUCAUGGCUCAACUUCAAUGCCCAAUGGAAAUGGAUCUGAUGAUAAUGUGCUUAUCUGUCAAAUCUGUCAUAAAGCUGGACAUGCAGCUGAUGUUUGUUGGCACAGACACUUUGAUGGCUAUGCUCCUCAACCCAGACAAUUUGGAAGGGGCAGAGGGCAUAAGUCUGCUUAUAUGGCUAACUUUGAUCCACAAAUUGGCUUUACUUCACAAUUUGAAGAUUCGUUUGCUACAGAAUAUCCUGGUUAUCAUGGGUACCAUCCACCUGAUAUGAAUGCAUCAGUUGCAUCAGUAAGUCAUCACUCAUCUGAUAUGCAUUCUGUACCUGGAGCAGCUUAUAUUGCAAAUUUUGAAGGACCAGCUGAUGAAGGGUGGUAUCUUGAUAGUGGAGCUACGCAUCACAUCACUAACAGCAUGGCCAAUAUGCAUAUCAGAGAUCAAUUCACUGGAGCAGAUCAGCUCAUUAUUGGAAAUGGACAAGGUUUGCCCAUAACUCAUGUUGGUGAUGCAUCAUUUCUCUUUAAAAGUUCCAAUUCUACACACAAACACUCACCUAUAGUACUUAAAGAUAUUCUGUUGGUGCCUUCCUCUCAGUUAUCAUCAUCUUUUCUUUCUCAUAUGUGUUCCAAUAAACCUUUGUCUAUGCUUUCUUGUUGUUGUUUCAAUUCUGUUCCUUCUGGAGUAUUUACAGAAUCUUAGAAAUCAUGUAAUCAAACUGAUGAUUCAUCUUGUAAAACUUCAGUUAAUAAAGCUAUUUUGCUUCAUAGAAAGUUUGGUCAUCCCAAUCAUCAAAUAUUAACUCAUAUACUCAAAACAGCAAAAUCUAUUCAUUUACCUGCAUAUCAAAAGCAACAAAUGCAUCAGUACAUCUGUGAGGCCUGUCAAAUGGGCAAAACACAUAAACUUCAUUUUCCAAUUACUGAAACCAAAACCUCCAAAACUCUAGAACUUAUACACACUGAUUUAUGGGGUCCUUCUCCCAUUAUUUCUAGAGAUGGUUAUCAGUAUUAUAUAAGUUUUGUAGAUGACUACAGCAGGUAUACAUGGAUUUAUCCUUUGAAGCUAAAGUCUGAGGCAUUAGAAGUCUUUAAGCUCUUUAAACUGCAGGUUGAAAAUCAGUUUAGCACAACCAUUAAGAUGAUGCAAUCUGAUUGGGGGGGAGAGUAUAGACCAUUCACUGAGUUUUUAAGCCAAUUUGGUAUCAUCUUUAGACAUCCUUGUCCUCACACUCAUCAUCAAAAUGGGUUAGUUGAAAGGAAGCAUAGACAUAUUGUUGAAUUGGGUCUGACUCUCUUAGCUCAAGCUCAACUUCCCUUUAAGUUCUGGUGGGAUGCAUUUCAUACUGCUGUAUAUCACAUCAACAGACUUCCAUCUCCUGUUUUGCAACUUUUAACCCCAUAUGAAAAGACAUUCAAACACAAACCUGAUUAUGAUUUUCUCAGAUGUUUUGGGUGUUCUUGUUAUCCUUACUUGAGAGAUUACAAUAAACAUAAAUUUGCCUACCAUUCUAGUAAGUGCAUAUUCAUUGGUUACAGUCCUUCACAUAAGGGCUACAAAUGUUUACACCCUUCAGGUCGAGUCUAUGUGGCAAGACAUGUUACCUUUGAUGAAUCAGUUUUUCCUUAUGCCACUGAGUUUGUUUUUCAUAGUCAUGCUAAAACUGAUUCUCAAAUUUCUCAUUCCCAUACACCACAGCAAAUCCAUCAUAUCUCUUCUUUGCCUGUCAAUAACAGCACUGGUAAUCUGAACUCUGUAAGAUCUGGAAGCAGCAGUUCAAGUCACUCAGAUCAUCUAGAACAGACAGCAACUGAUCAGAAUUCACAACAAGCUACCAUAAAUGACAGGUCACCUUUUCAUACAUGUCCAACAAUUGUUGAAUCUAUACAAAAUAUUCCAAAACCUCCACAUCACUCUUUGCCUAUACAAAGUCACCAUCCUAGCAACACUUCUUUCUAUCCAUAUACACAACCAAAUACACAUCAGAUGAUAACCAGAAGUAAAGCAGGGAUUUUCAAACCCAAAAUUUAUACUGCUGUGCUUACUCACAAGGAACCAGAUACUGUGCAAGAAGCAUUAAAUGAUUCAAAGUGGCUACAAGCUAUGAGGGAGGAAUAUGAUGCCUUGAUUAAGAAUAAUACAUGGACAUUGGUUCCAAGACAAGCUGAUCAGCAUGUGGUUGGAAAUAAAUGGGUGUAUAGAAUCAAAUAUAAUACAGAUGGAAGUGUAGCUAAGUAUAAAGCUAGACUUGUUGCAAAGGGUUUUCAGCAAGUGGCAGGGAUUAACUAUUUUGAGACAUUUAGCCCAGUUGUGAAGUCAGCUACAGUUAGAGUAAUACUUAGCUUGGCAGUGAUGAAUCAGUGGAGAAUAAGGCAAGUGGAUGUCAAUAAUGCCUUUUUGAAUGGAGAGCUAACAGAAGAAGUUUUCAUGUCUCAACCUGAUGGCUUUAUUGAUGCUCAGAGAUCUGAUUUUGUAUGCAAAUUACACAAGUCUCUGUAUGGGCUCAAGCAAGCUCCUAGAGCCUGGUAUGACAAGCUUAAAGGAUGCUUAAUAAGCUGGGGUUUCACUACUACUAGUUCUGACACCUCAUUGUUUGUUAGGAAGAUCAAGACAUCUAUGAUCAUAGUUCUUAUAUAUGUUGAUGACAUACUGAUCACAGGUCCAAAUACUGAGGAGCUGGAAGGUUUUAUAACUGAAUUCAGCAAAACUUUUGCUCUAAAGGAUCUGGGAGUGUUAUCCUAUUUCCUUGGAAUUGAGGUAUUAUAUGAUGCAGAUUGUAUGUACUUGUCACAGAGAAAGUAUAUCAGAGAUUUGUUAUCGAAGGUAGAAAUGACUGAAUGUAAGGGCAUUGAUACACCCAUGAGUACUGGCUCUAAACUGCAAAAGAUAGUUCAGGGGGAACUUGGAUACUAUCUUGAAGAUCCAACUCAUUAUAGGAGCAUAGUUGGAGGAAUGCAGUACCUGAUACUUACCAGACCUGAGAUUGCGUUUGCUGUAAACAAGCUUAGUCAGUAUGUAGCUGCACCAACACUACAACAUCUAAUGGCAUGCAAGAGAGUUAUAAGAUAUCUAAAGGCAACUCAAGAUUAUGGUUUAAAAUUUUUCAGAGAAGGAAGCUUAACACUCACUAGUUUUACUGAUGCAGAUUGGGCAUGUGACUUAGAUGAUAGGAAAUCAGUUGGUGCUUAUUGCAUUUAUUUAGGCAAUAAUUUGAUAUCCUGGUCUUCUAAGAAACAAUCAGUGAUAACCAGAUCAAGUGCCGAGAGUGAGUAUAGAGCUUUGGCAUCAGUGAGUGCAGAGCUGACAUGGUUACAAUCCUUAUUUUCUGAGUUGGGAAUAAGUUGCAUAGAAAAGCCAAUCAUAUGGUGUGACAACAUUAGUGCCACUGAACUAGCAAAGAACCCUGUGUAUCAUUCAAGAACAAAGCAUAUCGAAAUUGAUAUGCACUUCAUUAGGAAUAAGGUUCUUGCUGGUGAGUUGAUUAUUCACUAUGUACCAAGUGAAGAACAGAUUGCAGACAUAAUGACCAAGCCUCUUUCAUUUGUAAGGUUUAACUACUUGAGGUCCAAACUCAAUGUCCAUCUUUGUCCUCUGAGUUUGAGGGGGGCUGUUAGAGCAGCUCAUUAUGCUGAACAGAAGAAGGUGAAGACUAAGAUGAAGAAAAUACAGAGCAAGUUACAGGGCAAGUGUGUCAGCAGUGCCAGCUCAGCUGACAGCUCAGCAGAUUAGUUAAGAUGAAGAUAUACCGGCUUCAGCUUUAGAAGUUUUGAUGCGAUCAAUGAUUUUGGAAUCCAUGUGCUUAAGUUGUUGCAUCCGUUGCUUAAUAUCAGUGAUUCUGCUUUGGAGUCCUUGCAGAGCAUCAAAAAUGUCCUUGCUGCAGCUGCUUUGAGUCUUCUGUUGAGUGAUGCUGUUGAUGAAUGUGUCAAUCACCUUCUCAGAUUCAUACGUAAACCAAUUGAUUUCGUCCAUAACGGUCGCCAGAUCUGGGUCAUGACUUUCCUCCUCCGCCAUUUUUUCGAACAGAAGGAGGGAGAUAUCAUCUUCAAAUUCGCUCAGCCAAGAAGUAACGAUUUCAACCUCCGCAUGAAGGUUCUGAAUAGGUUGUUUUGCAGCAUCAGGCAACGUGACUUCUUCACCAGCUAACACCCUUCUCAGCCUCUCUGAAAAUAGUCUGAAGUUGAUGUGCAUAUCUCCUCCUCUCUCAGAUUCACCCUGAAAUCAGUCCUGUAGCAUGCAAAGAAAUAAUUAAAAGAAAAACAUGCUUUAAAGCUCUCAAUUCAAACAUUAGUGCUGGCUCCCAUACCUCCCUUCUCUUAGCUAGCUCUCCGGUCAAGAAGUUGAAUCAAGAUCGUUGACUCUCAGAUUAUAACAGAUCAAGGAAGAAUCUUACAAUAAUCUCGUCUCCCAUAUGAUCAAGACCAAUUUGUUUUAUACAUCCACUUUUAAGAAAGGAAGGGUAAAAACAAUUCCACUGGGACUAUAAAAGCUUGUCUGAAAAGAAAAGAACGGAGCAAGCACAAGAGCGUUAUCAAUUAUUUAAUAAUUAAUAACUAAGCCGUGGAAAAAUGCAAAAUCAUGUCAGGUGUUACUUGUUAAAUUUAUUGCGAGACUUGCAUGUAUCUAUAUCACAAAUAAAAUUUGUAUCCCAGGGUUAUAAAUGUAAAAUUACUCAAAUAAAUAUGCAUUCUUAAUCAUGUGUGAUGCUGUCUUAUUUCUGAGAAAGUACUAAAUCGUUUGUAAAAUUUUAUAGUUAAUAUAUGUUCAAUUUUCUUUUUAGCAUUCUUUUUUAAGAAAUGAAAAAUGAUAAAGAAUUCUAACAACGGGUGACAAAAAUAAUAAUAAAUUGUGCAAUGUUACAAUGUUAAUUGAAAAAUAGUUAUAAUUUUUUAUUUAACAUUAUAAAUAAAAUCUAUAGUUGUUUUCUCACUACUGUAUCAUUUUUUAAUUCAAAUAUCAGUAUUAUAUGAGCUCUCACCUUUUAGAAAGUAUUAUAUCAUAAGACACUAUUUAUAAUUAUUUUCAUUUGAGCCCUUAGUGUUAAAAAUAUAACAAUCCAUCAAUGAAAUCAAUGAUAAUGGAAUUCUAAGUAGGAAUGGCAGAAAAAUCAAGUCUAGCUAGAGCAUGUUUUCUAAGUAUUCUGGCUGGUCUUGGGCUCCGGCUAAAAAGUUCGAACUCAGCUCGAAAGCCAACAUUGUAUAGUGGGAAUCUAGGACCAAUCACAUGGAGAUGAUUUGUAAAUUUUUGUACACAAUUUUAGUAUGCAUAUCAGAAGAGAGGCAGCAAUCUUAGUUGAUACUUUUAUUUGACAUAUGAUGUAAGAAACGGAACAAAGAUUGUAACGCCACAAAUUUUGCAAUUCAGCAUCCAAAAUAUCACUAGAACUUGCAAGACAAGCUUUAAUCUCUUCAACAAAGGUCGAAUUGCGGGCAGGAACACAAACGCAGAGAUGGGUAUCAAGAUCGCAUUCGAAACGACUGACAGGGAUUGUCACAGUCGGCAUUGCUUUUACAAGUGACUGCUUUUGAUUCCGGUUGAGCAUCAACUGCCGGCAUGGAAAUAUUAAACAACACACUUGCAUAUAUAAAUGCCAAACAAUUAAUUAGCCUAAUGCUAAUAACACGCCUGCAUAUAUAAAUGCCAGCCAAUUAGUUGUCAUAUUAUAGUUAAUUAUGCAUGCAUUAAAAAGAUGAGGAAAAUAAGAUUAAGGAACAAACAUGAGGCCACCAACAGAGUGAUGAAAAAUGUGGAUUUAAGUUUAAGUUCCAUAAUGUUUAUGUAAGCAAAAGUGCAAAACUGAGAGUCUGUGGAUAAUGAUAUUAUUAAAUUUAAUAUGGGUUUGGUUUGCAUAGAUUCAUGAAUUUCUCUAGACAUUAUAUGCGCCGGGGGAGAAUUUAAUCCACUUGACAACUAAAAAAUUCAGAAAUCAAACCUCGAUUUGACAAAUUAGAAAUUUAAAAAUUAAAUUUUUUUCCAUAUGCAUGCUCUCGUUUUUCUCUCUAUCACAGCGGUAUAAUUGGAAUUAUUGUUAUGACAAUUUGAUUCUCUUUUCUUACAUGUUGCAGGAGUCAUGUCCUCCCGUUGAGGUGACAAAAUGACUAUGGAUUGUGCCUGAGUGGAGUACACCACCAGUAUGAUUAUCUCACUCCCUUUCGAGGUUUUGUUGCAGUAAUUUCUCAUCUUUUAUAGGGUACCCUGCUCUUCAUUGCUUCUGUAGAAGUCUUAUGAGCUAAUUGCUUCCGAAUCUUUAAAUUUCUUCAAUGAGGAACCUUUGUUUGGAAAAUUGAUUUUCAUCUGAUCCGAGAAGGGUGCUUUGAAGCAGAGAGCUUACGAAAUGCAGCAUGCAAAAUCAUGACUACAAUGCAGUAGACUAAUUGUUAGCUCACUCUAAGCAAAGGCAACGUUCAUAAAAGAUGAAGAAGAGUUUCUAAUAUUUACCAACAUAACCGAUAGCAAGUGCACAGAAUAGAGUCAUCUGAACAUUCAGUAGCAUAAGAACAACCAAUGUAGCUGCAAAGAUGAGAUGUAAUUACUACUGUGAAGUCGACGAAAGAAUUCCACUAUUUAUCAACAACUAGACUGUAGUAUAAUGGAAAGACCUGCCAAGGAAAGUUUAAAGCAAAACUCAUCCAGAGAAGGCAAGAACAUUAGUAUAGAAGCAGAAGUGCACACAUUCAUAUUUAGGGGUAACGAGAAAUGUAUCAUAAAUCACUUGCUCUAGCACAGUACUAUUUCAUGCUAAUUUUCUUGCUCGUUCUAUGGUUAGGACCCUUUGAGCGGAAAGAAAUCAAAUCACAAUGCUUAUUCUAGCUAGAAACUCCUGAAGUCCAUGCUUGAACCCUGUGUCAAUUGGUCAUAGACUCCAUAUUCUCCCAAAAGUAUGACAUUUUUUUCUUCCACUGAUUAAUGGAACUUAAAACUGUUUUGCCACAAUCUUAGUCAUACAAACCCUUUCUCUUUACAUUUCUUAAGGUCAUCAGACCCAAACCAGAACAUGUUUACUUCCUAGGAGAAAUCUUAAAUAUCUUAAUCAAUACGGAACUGUGUAGUUCAGACAGCAUUCCCUUGGCCAACUAGACGUAACGAUUUGCAAUGUCCUAGUAAGUCUAUGAGUGGAACUAACAGUGCCCUUCCAAUACGGAAAAACAAUCGUCAAAAACAAUUUUUUUACCCCAUCAACCACAUACAGUAUAAGACUGUAGCUGGUUAUCUCAAUAUCGGCUGCCAUUUUGAUUCAAAGAAGAAAUAUUUGAGAACUCACCACAUUGUGCAAUGCGAACCAGAACCUGCCUAAUCACAGGAUGCCGAUCCCAGUUCCAUUUGUCACUACAGAACUUGAAAAAAUCCCAAAGUGCCAAACUUGAUAUCAACCCAACAAGUGCAAGUGGCAUCUGGUAUCUAUAAGAUGGAGACAGAGACAAUGUCACUAGACAGAUGAUACACAGAAAAAAAAACUUGUAAUACAACUAACACACACAAUACUAUGAUUAAAAAAAUAUCUCCAUCAGUUAAAAACUAAACAAUGGAAAGGCGAGACUCUAUGAACUAAUGCCCUGAACCAGCACAAAUACCAAUUCUCCCGGAGUAUUUUAAGUAUUCAUAUAGUUGUUUCAAAGCACAGGAAAAAAAAAAACAACGCAAAAUUGCAAACUCAUAGUGUUGUUAUUUAUCAAUUGAAACCCAGAAAAAAAAAUCUGUAACUUAAUUAUUCAUUUAAGCAGAUUGAAACCCUUACAAACACAGGUAAGCAAAUCAAAAUUAUCAUUAAAAAUCCAAUCAAGGCCACAUAAAUCUAAUCACAUCCAAAAGCAUCCCAAAAUCUCGUUCAAUAUUCAUACACCCACAUACAAAAACCAUUCAAAAAUUUAAUUUUUUUUAACUCAAAAUAAUAACUCAGGAAAGGAAACAAAAUUCUUACAGAGAGCAAGCAAAGAAGAGGAUGAACAAAGAAGCAUAAUUCCUGGCAUAACGUUUAACAUUCUCAUGAACUCUCAACUUAAGGGUGUGUGGGGAAGAUGGAAACGAGUAAGACCCAAGAGCCCCAAUAAACUCACGGGUCCAAGACGGGGUGUUGGCUGAGAAAUCAUCAGUGGUGAGUUUAGCAAAAGGGUUGGCGGUAAGAAGAGAGAUAAAGGUGUAUAAAUAAUGUAAAAGGCUGUGAGUUAUGGUCGUGGCUGUGGCUGUUUCUUUGGUGGAGGCUGUUGUGACGGCGGUGGCCGAUGUCGUGGUGGCGGUGUCAAGGCUUUCGAGGUAGCCGGAGUCGCGUAGCCAUGACUCGAAUGCUGGGUCGGUUACGUUUAGAGAUAACGGGUUGGAUGCGAAUACCUUCCCCAUUGCAAAAAGUUAUCCAAUUUCGGUUGAACGAGGGUCACUAAAUUAUCAAAAU